GGCGCCUUAGUGCCUUAGCGGUUAGCACGUUCGCCUCACACCUCCAGGGUCCGGGGUUCGAUUCCCACCGUGGUCCUG